CUGGUUGAUCCUGCCAGUAGUCAUAUGCUUGUCUCAAAGAUUAAGCCAUGCAUGUCCAAGUACAAGCCUCACUAAGGUGAAACCGCGAAUGGCUCAUUAAAUCACACCUAAUCUACUGGAUAGUUAACAGGUGCUUGGAUACCUGCGGUAAUUCUGGAGCUAAUACAUGCGAAAAGCCUCGAACUUACGUGAGAGGUGCUUUUAUUAGAUCAAAACCAAUCGGCUUCGGCUGUACUCUUGGUGACUCUGAAUAACUUUGGGCUGAUCGUAUAGCCUUGCGCUGACGACAUAUCCUUCGAAGGUGUGCCCUAUCAACUGUCGACUGUGGCAUAGACGCCCACAGUGGUUUUGACGGGUAACGGGGAAUCAGGGUUCGAUUCCGGAGAGGGAGCCUUAAAAACGGCUACCACAUCUAAGGAAGGCAGCAGGCACGCAAAUUACCCAAUGAUCGAAGAUCGAGGUAGUGACGAAAAAUAACGAUCCAGGACUCAUCCGAGGCCCUGGAAUCGGAAUGAGUACACUUUAAAACCGUCCCCGAGGAUCUAUUGGAGGGCAAGUCUGG
rnacentral:rRNA from 1 species